rnacentral:rRNA from 1 species
UACGUAGGGCGCAAGCGUUGUCCGGAAUUAUUGGGCGUAAAGAGCUCGUAGGCGGCUUGUCACGUCGGGUGUGAAAGCCCGGGGCUUAACCCCGGGUCUGCAUUCGCUACGGGCUAGCUAGAGUGUGGUAGGGGAGAUCGAAUUCCUGGUGUAGCGGUGAAAUGCGCAGAUAUCAGGAGGAACACCGGUGGCGAAGGCGGAUCUCUGGGCCAUUACUGACGCUGAGGAGCGAAAGCGUGGGGAGCGAACAGG